GUGAUACAAAUCCAUUCUCUGGACGGCCGAUUCUCAUGGAGAUCAAAUAUCUCACGUCACUUCAAAUAUUUUCAACAUUCAAUGUUGGGCUUUCUUGGGGACGAUCCAAUGUUGAGCUUGCAGAUUCUGAGGAUUUUGCACAAUAAUCUCAGCGGAGAAAUCUUGAUCUCCUUCAACGGCCCCAAUAGUCUCCAGAUAAAUUUGUAGGAGAACAUGGCAACUUCGGGUAGUCUACUGAGCACAAUGGAACCGAUGCUGGAGUUGUUGAAGAAGCAAGAACAAGAAGACAAGCCUAAUGAUUUCCUUGCGCCUUUGCCUCUUCGAUCCUUGUCAAAGGGUUGGAUCCCCUCCAAAUAAAGAAGGAGAUUUUAUGCCUCUUCUGCACAUAACAACAUCGUCAAUGAAGUUUGUGAGAUUAAUAGGAUUGGAGAAUUUUCAACAACUCUUCAUGGGAUCAUUUUAAUUCAGAAUGCCUUUCAAAGCCAAAAUAUAGAUAUGUGUGAGCCAAUUUAAGAAGCUAAG